AAUAUGCAGCCUUUUGGAAACAGGAAGCAGCACAUUGCUCUGUGAUCCCCUGCAAGGCUGAACCCCAGAACCAGGCCCAGACCGCUCUUCUCCAACCUGCAACCUCCCCAGCCUGGCUUCAUAACAACCCUACAUACAGCUGGAGAAGGAGGACUUGUGAUGUAAUGCCGACGUGGCUAAAUACCAUGGAGAUAAGGUGGAUAAAUUCCAGAGAGGCAGAUCAUCAGCUGGUGGCUGUUUUGCAAGGUCAUGCAAGCAUUCGGACAUGGGACCGAGGCUGGCAGAUGAAGGGCCAGGAGUAAGGGAUGAGAGCCCGUCCAGAUUCCUGCCUGAGCAUUCUGCUUCCUGGUCGUCUAGUGAUGAGACAUGAACAAGUAGCCUGCUGCUCCUGCCACCUGCCACCCGGAUGUCACCAUGCCUGCCUGCUACCAAGCUGAGGAUGUAAUUCCUUCUUCCAGCUGCUUCUGCCCCAUAUUUUGUCCCAGCAACAGGGAAAUUAAUACAAUGAUUAUGUUGUAGCUGAACCACUAAGUCUAGUUCCAGACUUAAUUUCUCAAUGCUUAGCA